GACGAACGCUGGCGGCGUGCUUAACACAUGCCAGUCGAACGGAAAGGCCCUUCUUGCAGGGUACUCGAGUGGCGAACGGGUGAGUAACACGUGGUUGUUCUGCCCUGCACUUCGCGAUAAGCCUGGCAAACUGGGUCUAAUACCGGCUAGUAGCCAUUUUUAGUGUGAUGGUUGGAAAGUUUUUUCGGUGUAGGAUGAGCUCGCGGCCUAUCCUCGUGUUGGUGGGGUAAUGGCCUACCAAGGCGGCGACGGGUAGCCGGCCUGAGAGGGUGGACGGCCACAUGAGGACUGAGAUACGGCCCAGACUCCUACGGGCGGCAGCAGUGGGGAAUAUUGCACAAUGGGCGCCAGCCUGAUGCAGCGACCCCGGGUGGGGGAUGACGGCCUUCGGGGUGUAAACGCCUUUCGCUAGGGACGGAGCUUUUUGCGACGGUACUUAGAUAAGCAGCACCGGAUAACUACGU
rnacentral:rRNA from 1 species